CCUACGGGUGGCUGCAGUGGGGAAUAUUGGACAAUGGGCGAAAGCCUGAUCCAGCCAUGCCGCGUGUGUGAAGAAGGCCUUCGGGUUGUAAAGCACUUUCAGUGGGGAAGAAAGCCUUGGGGCUAAUACCCUCGAGGAAGGACAUCACCCACAGAAGAAGCACCGACUAACUCCGUGCCAGCAGCCGCGGUAAUACGGAGGGUGCGAGCGUUAAUCGGAAUUACUGGGCGUAAAGCGCGCGUAGGCGGUCUGAUAAGCCGGUUGUGAAAGCCCCGGGCUCAACCUGGGAACGGCAUCCGGAACUGGCAGGCUAGAGUGCAGGAGAGGAAGGUAGAAUUCCCGGUGUAGCGGUGAAAUGCGUAGAGAUCGGGAGGAAUACCAGUGGCGAAGGCGGCCUUCUGGACUGACACUGACGCUGAGGUGCGAAAGCGUGGGUAGCAAACAGGAUUAGAUACCCCGGUAGUC
rnacentral:rRNA from 1 species